CCCAAAAUCAAAUGUGGGAAAAUUUCUUCCUUAUCUGUAUUGAAGAAUAAGCAGGUGACCAAGCUCUACAGUAAUUACGGGAAGCAAAAAUGAAAGUGAAGAAGAGAGCUAACGGUUUAGUUUUGAGAGAAUCACAUGUCAGGGUAUUAACAAAAGAGCAUUCACUAAAUGAAACUACAUUCCUACUUGGUUUUACUCCAUAUCAGUGAUUUUUCCCAAAUACUGAUUUUUAGCAAUAAGGAAUCAAGAGUCACAGGAUGGUGGUGACACACGCCUUUAAUUCCAGCACUUGGGAGGCUGAGACAGGCAGAUCUUUGUGAGUUUGAGGCCAGUCUGGUCUACAAGAGCUAGUUCCAGGACAGGCUCUGAAGCUACAGAGAAACCCUGAUUUGAACACCCUGCCUACCCAAAAGGAAUUAAGAGUCAAAAGGCUCCAGAAACAUCUGUACCUAAGGAAACACAGCUUUAAAGGAGUCAAGGCUACUGGUAGGCACUGCCACUGAAGGAAAUACAGAGCCAUUCACAGCGAUGUCUAUCCAUGAGAAAACAACAGGCCAGACUUCUAAAAGCUCCAAAGGAGCCGCAGAGCAAGACAAGCAGCUGAAUUUCAGGCACUGGUUUUAGGAUCACAACAUUUACCAAACACUGAAGCAAUUAAACACAGAUUUUAGGGCUGCAGCUUCUGAAGAAAAAGCACCAAUAAAGACAGAAGAAUCUC